rnacentral:rRNA from 1 species
UGUUUUUACAAAAACAUCGCUCCUUGUUUGACAAAAAAUGGGGAGUCGGACCUGCCCAGUGAGAUUUUUAACGGCCGCGGUACUCUGACCGUGCAAAGGUAGCAUAAUAAUUUGCCUUAUAAUUGAAGGCUAGUAUGAAUGGUUUGACGAGAAUAAAGCUGUCUCUUUGCAACUUGGUAGAAAUUUAUUUACGGAUGAAAAAGUCCGUAUGGUAUUGAUAGACAAGAAGACCCUAUCGAGCUUAAAAAAAGUUAGUAGAACAAAAUUAAAUUAGAUUAAAAAAUUAUCUACUAAAGAUUUUGGUUGGGGCGACUGAGGAACAAAUAAAGCUUCCUUAAACUGUGUUUUGUUCAUCAGCUUUGAUCCGGAAAUUUCCGAUUAAUAAAAUUAGUUACCGUAGGGAUAACAGCAUUAUCUUUUUUGAGAGCUCUUAUCGAAAAAAAGGUUUGUGACCUCGAUGUUGGACCAGAAUGUCCUAAAGAUGCAGCAGUCUUUAAGGGUUGGUCUGUUCGACCAUUAAUAUUCUACGUGAUCUGAUUUCA